UUUUAUUAUUAAUUUAGAUUUAUUAAUUUUUAGGUAAUUUAUUAAUAUAUUAUAUUAAAUAUUGGUUUAUUAGAAAUUAUGAUUAAAUUAGUAUAAUUUUUUGUGAAAUUAGUUAUAAUUUUUAGAUAAAAUUAAGGAAUUCGGCAAAUUUAUUUUCUGCCUGUUUAUUAAAAACAUGUCUUUUUGUGAUUAUUUAAAGUCGAGCCUGCCCUAUGAUUAUUUAAAUGGCCGCGGUAUUUUGACCGUGCAAAGGUAGCAUAAUAAUUAGUUUCUUAAUUAGAAGCUGGUAUGAAUGGUUUGACAAGAAAAUUUCUGUCUCAAUUUUAAUAUUAGAAUUUAACUUUUGAGUUAAAAGGCUUAAAUUAUUUUAAAAGACGAGAAGACCCUAUAGAAUUUUACAUAUAUUUUAUUUAGAAUUUUAUAGAUUAUUUAUUUUUAAUUAUAUUAUUUGUUUUGUUGGGGUGAUGGAAAAAUUAAAUAAACUUUUUCUUAAUUUAUUCAUUGAUUUAUGA
rnacentral:rRNA from 1 species